rnacentral:pre_miRNA from 1 species
AGUUGAAUUGAUGGGUCACAUGGUAACUCUCAUGGUCAACCUUUUGAGGACUCUCCAGACUAUUUACCAGAGUAGCUACAACAUUUUACAAUUCCCACCACCAGU